rnacentral:rRNA from 1 species
UACGGAGGGUCCAAGCGUUAUCCGGAUUUAUUGGGUUUAAAGGGUGCGUAGGCGGUUUUAUAAGUUAGAGGUGAAAGCCCGUAGCUCAACUACGGAACUGCCUCUGAUACUGUAAGGCUAGAGAAUGGUUGCUGUGGGCGGAAUGUGUGGUGUAGCGGUGAAAUGCUUAGGGAUCACACAGAACACCGAUUGCGAAGGCAGCUUACUAAUCCAUCAUUGACGCUGAGGCACGAAAGCGUGGGGAUCAAACAGGAUUAGAUACCCCGGUAGUCCCU